UACGUAGGGGGCAAGCGUUGUCCGGAUUUAUUGGGCGUAAAGAGCGUGUAGGCGGCUAGGUAGGUCCGUUGUGAAAACUCGAGGCUCAACCUCGAGACGUCGAUGGAAACCAUCUAGCUAGAGUCCGGAAGAGGAGAGUGGAAUUCCUGGUGUAGCGGUGAAAUGCGCAGAUAUCAGGAAGAACACCAGUGGCGAAGGCGGCUCUCUGGUACGUGACUGACGCUGAGACGCGAAAGCGUGGGGAGCGAACAGG
rnacentral:rRNA from 1 species